CGAGGAAAGGGCGUAGCUCCGUAGUUAGCGCCCUACCACCGAGACCAGAGAUAGAAGUACCCUAAGUCGGCUUAGCUUAGGGGUAUAGAAAUGAAAUGAUCAAUGUUGUAAUAAUUAUGUUAAGAACUUGAUGGUAUUUGGAAGCUAAAAAGAGAAGUAAAAGUGUAAUAUGUGAUGAAAAAUGUAAUAUGUGAAUUGAAUGCAUGUAAUAACUUAGUUGUUUAUGUUUUCGAUCCUUUCCUUAUGCAAUCUAUGUUUGUAUGCUAUUCCUGGUUGGAACCUCACGCAUUGUAUGGAUUGUGACGCCUUGGACGUACAGAGGAGACUCUGUCCGCGGUACAGGAAAAACCCUAUCCGAUAGGCGGUCUGUUGGCGUGCCCGAAACCGACCAAAUAGGCAGGCUCGGGGCGUGACAGAUAAGAUGGUAUC
rnacentral:lncRNA from 1 species